UACGGAGGAUGCAAGCGUUAUCCGGAAUGAUUGGGCGUAAAGGGUCCGCAGGUGGCUGUGUAAGUCUGCUGUCAAAGAAUGAGGCUUAACCUUAUCAAGGCAGUGGAAACUACACAGCUAGAGUACGGUCGGGGUAGAAGGAAUUCCUGGUGUAGCGGUGAAAUGCGUAGAGAUCAGGAAGAACACCGGUGGCGAAAGCGUUCUGCUAGACCUGUACUGACACUGAGGGACGAAAGCUAGGGGAGCGAAUGGG
rnacentral:rRNA from 1 species